CUGUUAACACUUGCUUUUAGUGAGUUACUUGUACUUUGAGGUUGAAAAAUCUUACCAGCUCAGUCUACUUGAGCUGGAUUCAUAUAGAAAAAGUAAGUUUAUGACAUGUGGACAUGCGCAGAUCAGUCCUCUCUGAAAUCCCUAAACCCAACCAAUCAAGGUGCUUCGUGGGGCGGGUCUUGGCGUUGCGGGAAUCAUAAUUUUGCAGACGGUCGUUACAAGUCACCUCACACAUGCCGCAACUGACCAGGUGGAGCUGGACCUAUACAUCGCUUCUACGGCACUUUUGAUUAUCUUCAGCCGAGAUUCUUGUGCUUGGCACACUUAUUUGGCUCAAGCAGAAUGGUAAUCAAUCCUCCUCACAUUCCAUAAUCCCAGCAAUAAAAGAUACUGUGGACAGUCCAUCAUACCCAGGACUACAGUAUCCUAGAU